rnacentral:rRNA from 1 species
UGGGGAAUAUUGGACAAUGGAGGAAACUCUGAUCCAGCAAUUCUGUGUGUGUGAAGAAGGUUUUAGGACUGUAAAACACUUUUAGUAGGGAAGAAAAAAAUGACGGUACCUACAGAAGAAGCAACGGCUAAAUACGUGCCAGCAGCCGCGGUAAUACGUAUGUUGCGAGCGUUAUCCGGAAUUAUUGGGCUUAAAGGGCAUCUAGGCGGUAAGACAAGUUGAAGGUGAAAACCUGUGGCUCAACCAUAGGCUUGCCUACAAAACUGUGAACUAGAGUACUGGAAAGGUGGGUGGAACUACACGAGUAGAGGUGAAAUUCGUAGAUAUGUGUAGGAAUGCCGAUGAUGAAGAUAACUCACUGGACAGAAACUGACGCUGAAGUGCGAAAGCUAGGGGAGCAAACAGG